AUUGAACGCUGGCGGCAUGCCUUACACAUGCAAGUCGAACGGCAGCACGGACUUCGGUCUGGUGGCGAGUGGCGAACGGGUGAGUAAUAUAUCGGAACAUACCUUGUAGUGGGGGAUAACUAUCCGAAAGGAUAGCUAAUACCGCAUACGAUCUAAGGAUGAAAGCGGGGGAUCUGCGGUCCUCGUGCUAUAAGAGUGGCCGAUAUCUGGGUAGCUAGUUGGUGAGGUAAAGGCUCACCAAGGCGACGAUCAGUAGCUGGUCUGAGAGGACGACCAGCCACACUGGAACUGAGACACGGUCCAGACUCCUACGGGAGGCAGCAGUGGGGAAUUUUGGACAAUGGGGGCAACCCUGAUCCAGCAAUGCCGCGUGAGUGAAGAAGGCCUUCGGGUUGUAAAGCUCUUUUGUCAGGGAAGAAACGGUUGUGGCUAAUAUCCAUGGCUAAUGACGGUACCUGAAGAAUAAGCACCGGCUAACUACGUGCCAGCAGCCGCAGUAAUAC
rnacentral:rRNA from 1 species